CCGCGCAUCGUUGGCCUCUUGCGCCGCCGGCACCGCCACCUCCCUAGUGGAUCGUGGGCAUCCUGGGUGCUCCACGCGCUUCCCAUCUCUGACCUUCUGCCUCGACGCGCCGCUCUCCUGCUGCCAAAUCGAACGGGAACGCCUCAGGUUGAAGGAGGAAAGAGCAGUUCAUCUGGAGAUACGCCCUCGUCGCCGCUCAGUCUGCAGACACCGGCGCCGCGCUCUAGUCGUCGCAGGUGCGCCUCUGCGGCACCCUGCUACCUGCGGGAUCCACUGGUCCUCCUCCGUCGCCUGGUUUCCCGAUGCCACAGCCGGUCGCAGGUCGCCGGUCCCCUGCGCCAUGGAGGAUCCCCGAUGCCGCUGCGAAGCCAUCGCCACAGUCCGCUCCGAAUUCGUUCGUCCACUCGAAGCUGCCCCCUCGAAGCUACCAUGUUAUUUUAUUUUCAAAGCCGCUGCAGCCGCACUUUUGAGGAACGCUACCCCAUGGCUGUGAUCUCGCGUUUGGCCCCUCUCGGGCAGCCAGCCGGCUGCUGAUGCAUCUUCCCUGGUGUUGCACGAGAGGAGCAGCUUGGUCAGUGAACGUUGUAUCCUGCAUCAACGAGAUGGCCAACCGUGGUUUUCUUUCCUUUAUUUUUCUUGUUAGCUCAAUUCAUAUCUGCAUCGCUCUGAACUUCUGAUGAACAUGGUUCUAUACUUCCUUUGAUCAUUAGGUAGCUUCUUUUAUAUGAUAUGCACUUCUAAUUUAAUUAUUUUUGAUCUGAACGUCACUGCGAUAUAGUGUUAUACUUCUGAUAAUUGUUGAUUUGAGCUUCCCUGUGAUGCCACAAAGCUUGACACGCCGCAGCUGCAGCCAAGCGAUGGAAGCAAGACACUGUUAUACGCCGGUGAGGGAGCCAAAGGAUGGCUUCUAGGUGCUGGAGUGCGGAGUCAGUAGGAGGACGCACGAGGCUGCUGCCAUGGGUAAAGCUUUGAUGAACCAAGAGCCCCCUGUUGCAGCAGCACGCAUGAAGUUCUAUCGCCUGCUACUAUAACACAGAGCAAAAGCGAAGCUUCUGCUGCUACUCGGAUUGGCUGAGUUUGAUUUGCUUGUUCGGAUUGAUUUGCUGAUAUUGAAAUAUAGUUGUGUGCAUAUGAAAGGAGAGAAAAGAUUGGUAGAGAUAUGCAUAGUGAUGUAGGGAUAUUAUCUAGGCCCAUAGAGUCGAGUUUAGAGAAAAUGAUCAAGAUGAAAAGUCUAGCUUUCCUAGUGCUAUCGUGCACUUGCUUGUAUUUUGCUGAAACAAUCUGGUGCGUGAGCUGCUGUGCACUAGGGCUGAAAGAAAGAAGAAAAAAGACUAGAUAGGCACGAUUGGGUUCACAUGAAAAAGACUUAUGUGUUUCUCCUCA